GAUGAACGCUGGCGGCGUGCUUAACACAUGCAAGUCGAACGAUGAAGCCCAGCUUGCUGGGUGGAUUAGUGGCGAACGGGUGAGUAACACGUGAGUAACCUGCCCUUAACUCUGGGAUAAGCCUGGGAAACUGGGUCUAAUACCGGAGAGGAGCGUCCACCGCAUGGUGGGUGUUGGAAAGAUUUAUCGGUUUUGGAUGGACUCGCGGCCUAUCAGCUUGUUGGUGAGGUAAUGGCUCACCAAGGCGACGACGGGUAGCCGGCCUGAGAGGGUGACCGGCCACACUGGGACUGAGACACGGCCCAGACUCCUACGGGAGGCAGCAGUGGGGAAUAUUGCACAAUGGGCGCAAGCCUGAUGCAGCGACGCCGCGUGAGGGAUGACGGCCUUCGGGUUGUAAACCUCUUUCAGUAGGGAAGAAGCGAAAGUGACGGUACCUGCAGAAGAAGCACCGGCUAACUACGUG
rnacentral:rRNA from 1 species